rnacentral:tRNA from 1 species
GGUAUUAGCUCAGUUGGUAGAGCACCUGACUUUUAAUCAGGUUGUCGGGGGUUCAAAUCCCCCAUG